GCACGCAACGACUCUCGGCAACGGAUAUCUCGGCUCUCGCAUCGAUGAAGAACGUAGCGAAAUGCGAUACUUGGUGUGAAUUGCAGAAUCCCGCGAACCAUCGAGUCUUUGAACGCAAGUUGCGCCCGAAGCCGUCAGGCCGAGGGCACGUCUGCCUGGGCGUCACGCG
rnacentral:rRNA from 1 species